rnacentral:rRNA from 1 species
UACGGAGGGCGCAAGCGUUGUCCGGAAUUAUUGGGCAUAAAGAGCUCGUAGGCGGUUUGUCGCGUCUGCUGUGAAAACCUCAGGCUCAACCUGGGGCUUGCAGUGGGUACGGGCAGACUAGAGUGCGGUAGGGGUGACUGGAAUUCCUGGUGUAGCGGUGGAAUGCGCAGAUAUCAGGAGGAACACCGAUGGCGAAGGCAGGUCACUGGGCCGCAACUGACGCUGAGGAGCGAAAGCAUGGGGAGCGAACAGG